rnacentral:rRNA from 1 species
GAGGAAUAUUGGUCAAUGGGCGAGAGCCUGAACCAGCCAAGUCGCGUGAAGGAUGACUGUCCUAUGGAUUGUAAACUUCUUUUAUACGGGAAUAACAAGAGUCACGUGUGGCUCCCUGCAUGUACCGUAUGAAUAAGCAUCGGCUAACUCCGUGCCAGCAGCCGCGGUAAUACGGAGGAUGCGAGCGUUAUCCGGAUUUAUUGGGUUUAAAGGGUGCGUAGGCGGCCUGUUAAGUCAGCGGUGAAAUCUAGGAGCUUAACUCCUAAAUUGCCAUUGAUACUGGCGGGCUUGAGUGUAGAUGAGGUAGGCGGAAUGCGUGGUGUAGCGGUGGAAUGCAUAGAUAUCACGCAGAACUCCGAUUGCGAAGGCAGCUUACUAAGGUACAACUGACGCUGAAGCACGAAAGCGUGGGUAUCAAACAGGAUUAGAUACCCUGGUAGUCCACGCAGUAAACGAUGAUAACUGGGCGUAUGCGAUAUACAGUAUGCUCCUAAGCGAAAGCGUUAAGUUAUCCACCUGGGGAGUACGCCGGCAACGGUG